GAAGAUCUUGAAAUUUCGAUUCUCGAAGUUCAAAGGUUUUAUCGUAUUUCUGAAAGUGCAAAACUGUUGAACGUGUAUCAAAUUACCACAAUAUUAUUGAUACUUUAUUUCAUAUUUGUGAAAUAAUUACGUAAAACUUCAUUCUCGGAGGACUGCUCCUCACAUGUUGGUUGGAAAUUCGAAAUUAUCACUUGUGCAGAAGAGAAUUGGUUUAAAAUAAAUUUUCCAAUAAAUGA